ensembl:lncRNA
CUGGUCAGAAAAAAAAUCCAGCUUUUAUUUUUUUAUUAUUAUUAAUAUAUAUAUAUAUAUAUAUAUAUUUUCCCUCAGUAAAACUGGAACUUGCCUGCAGAAAACUGCUACUUCAUAAAUAGCACUGGGGCGGGAAGGGAUCCUUCAGUCAGCCUUAACACUGUACUUGUAGCAUCCCACACGGGAGCACAGCCUGGGCACACAGACAGCCUGCCAGGGCUGUUACACAGCUGUAAAAUCACCGCGGCUUUUACUCACACACUUCCAUCCUAAGCAACGUGUGCUGGAGGAGCUGCCUUCAGGCUACAACACCCCUUCACCCUACCGGACCUCGACUCGGGAUACACCUAGGGGACAGUUUAGAUCUGUCUUGCUUCCAGGCUGCAAACACUCCAGGCAGGAGAGGAUUGAAUGCUGUGAGAAGCACCAUACCUCUGUUACAGGGACAGCCAACAGAAGCCCUGAUGUUCAAAAGAGCUGAGUCCACCUACAGGGCACUUUCAUUCCUUCGCCCUGUUGAAAAUCUCACUAUCUGCGUGCAUUGUCUAUCACUGUGUGACAUUGCUGAUCGAUCCUGCCUCUCUCGCCGACAUGAGGAUAAGGAAGCGUUUGUGUCCGUAGAGAUGGACAUUCAAUCACGCAUGAUUCAGAUGACCUUGGAAGUGUCACCUUAAGAAAACAAAUAAAUUACUCGUUGCCUAUCACAGAGGAUCUAGAGCCCCUCUGGAGAUGCUGACUGCUGGCAUUUCAAUGAGAAUUGAGGGCACUCAGAAUUAGUUAAUACUUUAUAGAAUUUACCUUGUGGGUCUUGAUAGAAAGCCUGUUAAAGUCAAUGGAAGAACUAAGCUUGUUCAGUGGACUCUUGAUCAGUUUGCUAGAGAGGAAUCCAUACAUACCUGGCAAAGGAACCAUGACAAAGAAAUGUCCUAUCUCUGACAGUCUCGUGUGUGAUGAUUUCUCUAUAUACAGUUGAAAACAAGGCCUGUAAAGGAACUACCCAUCCUAACCAUGUCUCUUGACUGAGACAUGCCUUUUUCUGCAUAUCUUUAGGUACCACACUUUAUGUUAGAAUUAACCUACACCUGGUGCUUCUGUGCCAGUCACCGUGCGUGGAGAUUUGAUAGGAUUUGAUGCUGACUAGUGGUGUGAGCUGAGCCCAUGUUAUCUCUUUCUGGGAUCAAGAAGAAUUAAGUACCAUCCAGGUUGUGCUUACUGCGCUGCAGCCGGAAAUCAACACCCACACAUACUGGGGAAGAAUGAG